AAUAUUGGACAAUGGGCGAAAGCCUGAUCCAGCCAUGCCGCGUGUGUGAAGAAGGUCUUCGGAUUGUAAAGCACUUUAAGUUGGGAGGAAGGGCAGUAACCUAAUACGUUAUUGUUUUGACGUUACCGACAGAAUAAGCACCGGCUAACUCUGUGCCAGCAGCCGCGGUAAUACAGAGGGUGCAAGCGUUAAUCGGAAUUACUGGG
rnacentral:rRNA from 1 species